GGUUAAGUGAAUAAGGGCGCACGGUGGAUGCCUUGGCACUAGGAGCCGAUGAAGGACGGGACUAACACCGAUAUGCUUCGGGGAGCUGUAAGUAAGCUUUGAUCCGGAGAUUUCCGAAUGGGGAAACCCAGCAUCUUUUAUAGGAUGUUACUUUUCAGUGAAUACAUAGCUGAUUAGAGGUAGACGCAGAGAACUGAAACAUCUAAGUACCUGCAGGAAGAGAAAGAAAAUUCGAUUCCCUGAGUAGCGGCGAGCGAAACGGGAAAAGCCCAAACCAAGAGGCUUGCCUCUUGGGGUUGUAGGACUCCGAUAUGGUAGUCCAGUGAGAUAGUCGAAGGACCUGGAAAGGUCUGCUAGAAAGGGUAAAAGCCCCGUAGACAAAAUUUGACUGGCACCUAGGAGGAUCCUGAGUACGGCGGAACACGAGGAAUUCCGUCGGAAUCCGGGAGGACCAUCUCCCAAGGCUAAAUACUCCCUAGUGACCGAUAGUGAACCAGUACCGUGAGGGAAAGGUGAAAAGCACCCCGGAAGGGGAGUGAAAUAGAUCCUGAAACCGUGUGCCUACAACAAGUUAGAGCCCGUUAAUGGGUGAUAGCGUGCCUUUUGUAGAAUGAACCGGCGAGUUACGAUUACUUGCGAGGUUAAGUUGAAAAAACGGAGCCGUAGCGAAAGCGAGUCUGAAUAGGGCGAAUGAGUAAGUGGUCGUAGACCCGAAACCAUGUGAUCUACCCAUGUCCAGGUUGAAGGUGCGGUAAAACGCACUGGAGGACCGAACCCACGUACGUUGAAAAGUGCGGGGAUGAGGUGUGGGUAGCGGAGAAAUUCCAAACGAACUUGGAGAUAGCUGGUUCUCUCCGAAAUAGCUUUAGGGCUAGCCUCAGAGUAAGAAUGAUGGAGGUAGAGCACUGUUUGGACUAGGGGCCCAUCUCGGGUUACCGAAUUCAGAUAAACUCCGAAUGCCAUCCAUUCAUCUCUGGGAGUCAGACUGUGAGUGAUAAGAUCCAUAGUCGAAAGGGAAACAGCCCAGACCACCAGCUAAGGUCCCCAAAUAACUAUUAAGUGGAAAAGGAUGUGGGGUUGCACAGACAACUAGGAUGUUGGCUCAGAAGCAGCCACCAUUUAAAGAGUGCGUAAUAGCUCACUAGUCGAGUGACCCUGCGCCGAAAAUGUACCGGGGCUAAAUAGUUUACCGAAGCUGUGGAACACACCAUAAGGUGUGUUGGUAGGAGAGCGUUCUAAGGGCGUUGAAGGUAGAUCGUGAGGACUGCUGGAGCGCUUAGAAGUGAGAAUGCCGGUAUGAGUAGCGAAAGACAGGUGAGAAUCCUGUCCACCGAAUGACUAAGGUUUCCUGGGGAAGGCUCGUCCGCCCAGGGUUAGUCGGGACCUAAGCCGAGGCCGAAAGGCGUAGGCGAUGGAUAACAGGUUGAUAUUCCUGUACCCGUUGUUUUUGUUUGAGCAAUGGAGGGACGCAGGAGGCUAAGGAAUCAGACGAUUGGAAAUGUCUGUCCAAGCAACAAGUCUUGAUGUGAGUCAAAUGCUUACGUCUUCAAGGACAAGUUGUGAUGGGGAGGGAAAUAAUAGUACCGAAGUUCCUGAUGUCACACUGCCGAGAAAAGCUUCUAGUGNNNNNNNNNNNNNNNNNNNNNNNNNNNNNNNNNNNNNNNNNNNNNNNNNNNNNNNNNNNNNNNNNNNNNNNNNNNNNNNNNNNNNNNNNNNNNNNNNUAAGAAAACAAUGGCCCGUACCGCAAACCGACACAGGUAGUCGAGGAGAGAAUCCUAAGGUGAGCGAGAGAACUCUCGUUAAGGAACUCGGCAAAAUGACCCCGUAACUUCGGGAGAAGGGGUGCUGAUCUAACGAUCAGCCGCAGUGAAUAGGCCCAAGCGACUGUUUAUCAAAAACACAGGUCUCUGCAAAAUCGAAAGAUGACGUAUAGGGGCUGACGCCUGCCCGGUGCUGGAAGGUUAAGAGGAGUGCUUAGCGUAAGCGAAGGUACGAAUUGAAGCCCCAGUAAACGGCGGCCGUAACUAUAACGGUCCUAAGGUAGCGAAAUUCCUUGUCGGGUAAGUUCCGACCCGCACGAAAGGCGUAACGAUUUGGGCACUGUCUCAACGAGAGACUCGGUGAAAUUUUAGUACCUGUGAAGAUGCAGGUUACCCGCGACAGGACGGAAAGACCCCAUGGAGCUUUACUGCAGUUUGAUAUUGAGUGUUUGUACCACAUGUACAGGAUAGGUAGGAGCCGUAGAAGUCGGGACGCUAGUUUCGACAGAGGCGCUGGUGGGAUACUACCCCUGUGUUAUGACCACUCUAACCCGCACCACUAAGCGUGGUGGGAGACAGUGUCAGAUGGGCAGUUUGACUGGGGCGGUCGCCUCCUAAAAGGUAACGGAGGCGCCCAAAGGUUCCCUCAGAAUGGUUGGAAAUCAUUCGCAGAGUGUAAAGGCACAAGGGAGCUUGACUGCGAGACCUACAAGUCGAGCAGGGACGAAAGUCGGGCUUAGUGAUCCGGUGGUUCCGCAUGGAAGGGCCAUCGCUCAACGGAUAAAAGCUACCCUGGGGAUAACAGGCUUAUCUCCCCCAAGAGUCCACAUCGACGGGGAGGUUUGGCACCUCGAUGUCGGCUCGUCGCAUCCUGGGGCUGUAGUCGGUCCCAAGGGUUGGGCUGUUCGCCCAUUAAAGCGGCACGCGAGCUGGGUUCAGAACGUCGUGAGACAGUUCGGUCCCUAUCCGUCGCGGGCGUUGGAAAUUUGAGAGGAUCUGUCCUUAGUACGAGAGGACCGGGAUGGACUUACCGCUGGUGUACCAGUUGUCUCGCCAGAGGCAUCGCUGGGUAGCUAUGUAGGGAAGGGAUAAACGCUGAAAGCAUCUAAGUGUGAAGCCCACCUCAAGAUGAGAUUUCCCAUUUCUUUAAGAAAGUAAGAUCCCUGAGAGAUGAUCAGGUAGAUAGGUCAGAAGUGGAAGUGCAGUGAUGUACGGAGCGGACUGAUACUAAUCGAUCGAGGACUUAACCAA
rnacentral:rRNA from 1 species